GCUGGUGUAGCUCAAUUGGUAGAGCAUCUGCCGCAAGCAGAAGGUUCCCAGUUCAAGUCUGGGCACCAGUU
rnacentral:tRNA from 1 species